CGCUGCCGCCCAUGGAGAAUCAAGCCAAAGUCAUGCCCGCGUCGUGGGGCAACUCCCCGCUUGUGCAAAUCCGAUACGCUCCUGCCGGCACUUAUGUCCUGCUCCGGUGCGAGAACGGUGAAAGGGACGAACAGCCUCAAUCCACAUCCAACGGAGUCACGACAAGAAGUACAUAGUCAUUCUUGUUCUUUCGCUUAUCUGGUCGGCGCCUUCGUUCGCGCAGCAUGCCCACGGCAGCGAAAAGGGGCCGAACGGCGGUCCAAUGGAGGACGUCGCUGGCAUCGACGCUGAACUGGUGACCUCCGGCAACACCAUCACGAUCAAUGUGUUCGAUCCCGGCAAUCACAAGCCGGUUUCCACGAAAGGCUUUAGCGGUGCCGUUCUUGUGGCGGGUGCCGGUGCUCGCGAGACCGUCACCCUUGAGCCCUCCGGUGAGAACGCUUUGAAAGGAAAUUCAAAAAACGCAAUCGGCGCGGGCGCGACGAU
rnacentral:misc_RNA from 1 species